rnacentral:rRNA from 1 species
UAACAGGAAGAAGCUUGCUUCUUUGCUGACGAGUGGCGGACGGGUGAGUAAUGUCUGGGAAACUGCCUGAUGGAGGGGGAUAACUACUGGAAACGGUAGCUAAUACCGCAUAACGUCGCAAGACCAAAGAGGGGGACCUUCGGGCCUCUUGCCAUCGGAUGUGCCCAGAUGGGAUUAGCUAGUAGGUGGGGUAACGGCUCACCUAGGCGACGAUCCCUAGCUGGUCUGAGAGGAUGACCAGCCACACUGGAACUGAGACACGGUCCAGACUCCUACGGGAGGCAGCAGUGGGGAAUAUUGCACAAUGGGCGCAAGCCUGAUGCAGCCAUGCCGCGUGUAUGAAGAAGGCCUUCGGGUUGUAAAGUACUUUCAGCGGGGAGGAAGGGAGUAAAGUUAAUACCUUUGCUCAUUGACGUUACCCGCAGAAGAAGCACCGGCUAACUCCGUGCCAGCAGCCGCGGUAAUACGGAGGGUGCAAGCGUUAAUCGGAAUUGCUGGGCGUAAAGCGCACGCAGGCGGUUUGUUAAGUCAGAUGUGAAAUCCCCGGGCUCAACCUGGGAACUGCAUCUGAUACUGGCAAGCUUGAGUCUCGCAGAGGGGGGUAGAAUUCCAGGUGUAGCGGUGAAAUGCGUAGAGAUCUGGAGGAAUACCGGUGGCGAAGGCGGCCCCCUGGACUGAAGACUGACGCU